AUUGAACGCUGGCGGCAUGCUUUACACAUGCAAGUCGAACGGUAACAGGCCGCAAGGUGCUGACGAGUGGCGAACGGGUGAGUAAUGCGUCGGAACGUGCCCAGUCGUGGGGGAUAACGCAGCGAAAGCUGCGCUAAUACCGCAUACGAUCUAUGGAUGAAAGCGGGGGACCGUAAGGCCUCGAGCGAUUGGAGCGGCCUAUGUCAGAUUAGGUAGUUGGUGGGGUAAAGGCUCACCAAGCCAACGAUCUGUAGCUGGUCUGAGAGGACGACCAGCCACACUGGGACUGAGACACGGCCCAGACUCCUACGGGAGGCAGCAGUGGGGAAUUUUGGACAAUGGGCGCAAGCCUGAUCCAGCAAUGCCGCGUGCAGGAAGAAGGCCUUCGGGUUGUAAACUGCUUUUGUACGGAACGAAAAGGCUCUGGUUAAUACCUGGGGCUCAUGACGGUACCGUAAGAAUAAGCACCGGCUAACUACGUGCCAGCCGCCGCAGUAAUAC
rnacentral:rRNA from 1 species